GACGAACGCUGGCGGCGUGCUUAACACAUGCAAGUCGAACGGAAAGGCCUCUUUCGGGGGGUACUCGAGUGGCGAACGGGUGAGUAACACGUGAGUAACCUGCCCUUGACUUUGGGAUAACUUCUGGAAACUGGGGCUAAUACCGGAUAGGAGCUCCUGCUGCAUGGUGGGGGUUGGAAAGUUUCGGCGGUUGGGGAUGGACUCGCGGCUUAUCAGCUUGUUGGUGGGGUAGUGGCUUACCAAGGCUUUGACGGGUAGCCGGCCUGAGAGGGUGACCGGCCACAUUGGGACUGAGAUACGGCCCAGACUCCUACGGGAGGCAGCAGUGGGGAAUAUUGCACAAUGGGUGGAAGCCUGAUGCAGCAACGCCGUGUGCGGGAUGACGGCCUUCGGGUUGUAAACCGCUUUCGCUCAUGACGAAGCUUUGUGUGACGGUAGUGGGUAAAGAAGCACCGGCUAACUACGUG
rnacentral:rRNA from 1 species